UACGUAGGGUGCGAGCGUUAAUCGGAAUUACUGGGCGUAAAGCGUGCGCAGGCGGUGUUGUAAGACAGAUGUGAAAUCCCCGGGCUCAACCUGGGAAUGGCAUUUGGGACUGCAAGGCUCGAGUGCGGCAGAGGAGACUGGAAUUCCUGGUGUAGCAGUGAAAUGCGUAGAUAUCAGGAGGAACACCGAUGGCGAAGGCAGGUCUCUGGGCUGACACUGACGCUCAUGCACGAAAGCGUGGGGAGCGAACAGG
rnacentral:rRNA from 1 species